rnacentral:rRNA from 1 species
AUGAGAGGGAAUGACAAUCACAAGUAUUUUGUUUGCGCGUUCCAAGGGAAACACACAACUUCUGUUUCAGAGGCUGGCAGGAAACGAAACAAAACAUCACAGAGGACAGGCUGCAAUGCAAGAAUGAGGGUGCAGGUGCAGGAGGAUGACACAUGUGUGGUAGUGGACAUUUAGUACAAUCAUAAUCACCACCUCAUGCAAUCUAAUGACAUGUUGGUAUUCUUGCACUCACACAAGAAUUAUGACCCCACUAUUCUGGAGUACGUAAAGCUCCUGCAGUACCAUGAUGUCAAGCAUACAACAAUCAUGUCCAUGCUAUCUGAAAAUGAAGAUGGAAGCUACUUCCUAAGCAUGACCGGACGAGACCUACUAAACCAGAAAGCAAUGAAUGCAAGGAAAGAUGAUUUGGAUGAUGUAUUGAAACUUGUAUCUUUCUUUAAAGACAUGAAGUCAAUCAAUGAUGAGUUUUUCUAUGACAUACAAUCCAAUGCAAGUUGUCGAGGAGCAUAUCAAGACUUUGGCGAUUGCGUAACAUUCGACACAACUUACAAGACUAACAUAUUUCAUAUGCCUCUGGGAGUGUUUGUUGGAACAAACCAUCACUUGCAGUCAAUCAUAUUUGCUAUUGCCAUGAUUAGAGACGAAGAUGCAAAGUCAUUCAAGUGGUUGUUUGAUACAUUUGUACGGUGCAUGAACAACAAACACCCAACUUGCAUUCUAACAGACCAGUGCCCGUCGAUGGCGAAAGCUAUACCACAAUCAUUCCCAAACACAGUCCACAAGCUAUGCCGAUGGAACAUCCUAAAGAAGUUCCAGGAAUACCUCGCGUUGUUGUACAAAAAGCAUAAAACAUUCAAAGAGGAGUUCACAGCGAUCUUAAACUGGCCGCUAAUGCCUACAGAGUUUGAAACUGCUUGGGCUACACUCGUGCAGAAUUUCAACCUGCAGAACGACUAGAUGAUGAUGCAGCUGUGGAAUGAUAGGAAGAUGUGGAUUUCAGCAUAUUACAAGAACAUUUUCUGUGCUAGAAUGACUUGCACACAAUGAAGCGAGAGCAUGAAUCACAUGCUCAAGAGAGGGUUUGUCAAGGGGACCCAAAACGUACACAAGUUUGCUAGGCGGGUAAAUGCGUGCAUACAAACUCGGAUGCAGAAGGAGAACGAGCAAACAAUGACCAACAUGGUAUUAAGACAAGAAAAACACCCCCAUCAUAUUGUGACUUCCUUCAACAUGUGCACACUGUAUUUAAAAAAUGAAACCCAUGACUCUGCUUCGACUAAUAUCUUAUUUUUUGACAUGUGUGCAGACCAAUCCUGUGACAAAAAAAACUUACGGCUAUGA